ACCUCCUAUUCACUAGACAUCUGGAGCGCGUGCGUGACGUUCACCUUUCUCUCAGCUCACAGUGGCGUUACCGUUUUUUUCUUUUACCCUUUCGACUUUUCUACUGUCAGCUCCCCCGUUCUGCUUUUACCCCAUGCCGGAAGGGGAGGUCGUCUUCGACGAUGCCUCCGUGGCGUCCUCUGAGAAAACACCAUUAAACAAGGACAUGCUCGACGCACCGCCUCGGAAAGACACUCGGUUGCGCGCAAAAUGGCUGAGAUGCGUCACGGUGGCCGGCGUCCUGCUUCUCAUCGCACCGCUCUAUCUCUGGAAGAACUUUCACGCGAUGCGCGCGGCAGGGGAGGACCCGAUUUCCGUGGUCACCCCGCUCAGCGACAACUUUGACAUCCACGAGCUAAUCCGCGAGUUGAACAACAACGGUGAGAAGAUCUACCUGUCAAGCCUCAUAUCUAAAGAGGCCGACGGCUGCGCACGGGAUGUGCCUGGGCUGCCCAGGGGAAAACAGACAGUAGUUACGUUCAAGACCAUUGAGAAUGCAGAGCGCGAGGCGGUGGUCUACGUGCCGAAGAGCUACCCCACGCCGGUGGGCGGCACGGCCCCGAAGCCGGUUGCCCUGCUGCUGCUCUUCCAUGGUCUGAAUGAUAACUGCAAGCACUUCAUGGACGCCACCGGCUUUGUGCCCUAUGCAGAACUCGACGGCUUCGUGCUUGUGAGUGUCUGUGGGUCUUUGGGGUACCUUGGCACAGGAUGGAACGCGGGCAUGUGCUGCGGCUUCCUUGAAGAAAAGCCCAACGACGUGGCGUUCGCAAAGCAGGUCGUGACAGAACUGUCGCAGAGCGUUUGCAUUGAUAAAACCCGCGUGAUGGCCGCCGGAUUCAGCAACGGUGCCAUGCUUGCGGAGGUGCUGGCGUGCGAUGCGCCCGAAAUGUUCCGCGCUGUCGCCUCCGUCAGCGGUGUUGUUGAGAUCCGACCUGGAAAUGAUGCUGCGCUUACAGCGUGCACGGCUGCCGUCGAAAAAGCCUCGUCGACCGUGCGCACGAGUGUGCUGAUGGUGCACGGUACCGCGGAUCUCUUGGUGCCGUGGGACGGUAACAAGCUCCUUGGAUUUCCAUCAAUCGUGAAGAACCUCGAGGGAUGGAGAGAGCGAAACGGGUGUACGGACGAGACGAACACCACCAUCUCUACCGAUACCUACGUCAACAUCAUCUACGCCAAUUGCAGCGUGGGGAAGCGUGCGGGGUCACUUCCGGCGUCCGAUGAGGAGCACGAGGAGUCGAAGACCUGUUUGGAGGAUGAUCCCUAUUGGGGCUUGAAUUCGGUGGCGAAUAAGACCGGGGAUGCACCGUCUGGUGUAGAGGAUGCAGCCCUGGUUGACAGAGAACGCUGUAUCUCACGCACGGAGGCUGAGUAUCUCAGCGUCAGGCGGGAGAGCAAGAGGCACGUGACCCGACUCAGGCAUGAGUGGCGUUCUCGCGAUCAACGUUGUCAGAAGCGGGACCGCACGAAGGUCGAGCACGCGAAGGCGCACGAGAAGCACGAUGAUAAGAAGGUCUACCAUACAAAGGACAGUAUCUGGAACCAACACGACGGCACGGAUUUCCAUCUGCGUCCGCACCUGCAUCUGAAGGAAAAACCGUCGCAGGAAGGCCUGCACAGGCACGUUGCUGUGAACCACCGUCGGCUGCGCCAUCUUCCCUUUGGCGCCGUUCCCAAGGAGAGUUGUGAGGUGCCGGUGCAGCGCGACGGCCCCCUGUGUCUGCAGGACGGCAUAAGUCAGGUGGAGCUUGUGCGCGUGAAAGGCGGCGGUCAUAGCUGGCCGCGCGACAUUGAUUUCUCGACGACGGACUACAUCUACAACUUCGGAAUUCGUGUCUUUGGCCGGUACAACUGAUGCGUGGUCACGGCCAUCGGUACCAGGGCUCGCCCCUCCCCCUUCUCUGUAUUUGCUUUCGCCUCUUCUUCUCUUGUCCGUAUGUUCCUUUGGCUUGUCUUCAUGUUUUUUUUUCUCUGUCUUCGACAUGCUGAAGAGGGAACUUCCCUUUUUUUCUUUGUCGUUCGAAGACGUGAAGUGCGUAUGAGUGAUGCCCCCUGCUCACUUCACGUUCCUACUCCUGUUCCCGUGUAUGCAUUCUCACGCCUCUUCCCCCCGCCUUGUCUCCGCGUUGCACGAGAGCGUAAUGGAACGGAGAAGAAAAAAUUGAAGGGGGUUCGAGAAUGACGGGAGGACACGACGAGCGUUGCACCGACGCGAAUGGGAAAAGGCGGACUGCAGAGACUGGAAUACGAAUGCGAAGGGCACCCCGCAUUUUUUUUUCCUCUAACCCCCUCCCUACUCUUUGAGACUCCCCCGUAUAUUGUAGCGCGUUUCCUUUUGCUACUUGCUUCACGCGAGUUCACAACGAUGCAGCUAUCGACACAAGGCAUGGUGCUCCUUGUCAGUUCUUGCUCUUCUACGAUGUUUUUUUGUCUCCGAUAUAUCUAUGCUGAUAUAUUUCUUCUGCCCUCCCCCCUUCUUCAUGCUCGUCUGCAACCACUACCACCUCCGGUGCGCCCCUUUUUCGCUGCAAUUUUUUUUCCUGUUUCUAUCAACGUGGCUCUUUAUGCCAUCAUUGCUUGACACGUUACAGACUUUUAUCGUGGGGCGACAAC
rnacentral:misc_RNA from 1 species